UAUCACAAAGAUGAUGUAUGUUUGACUCGACAAAGUACACACCAGUCCUGACAAAGAAUACCUUUUGCGCUGUCUCCUCCAACAAAGAGUUCAAUGAGGCA